rnacentral:rRNA from 1 species
UACGUAGGGUGCGAGCGUUAAUCGGAAUUACUGGGCGUAAAGCGUGCGCAGGCGGUGAUGUAAGACCGAUGUGAAAUCCCCGGGCUUAACCUGGGAACUGCAUUGGUGACUGCAUCGCUCGAGUAUGGCAGAGGGGGGUAGAAUUCCACGUGUAGCAGUGAAGUGCGUAGAGAUGUGGAGGAAUACCGAUGGCGAAGGCAGCCCCCUGGGUCAAUACUGACGCUCAUGCACGAAAGCGUGGGGAGCAAACAGG